rnacentral:rRNA from 1 species
UACAGAGGUCUCAAGCGUUGUUCGGAUUCAUUGGGCGUAAAGGGUGUGUAGGUGGCGCCGUUAGUCGGGUGUGAAAUUUCGGAGCUUAACUCCGAAACUGCAUUCGAUACUGCGGUGCUUGAGGACUGGAGAGGAGACUGGAAUUCAUGGUGUAGCAGUGAAAUGCGUAGAGAUCAGGAGGAACACCGGUGGCGAAGGCGGUUCUCUGGGCAUGUCCUGACGCUGAGGAGCGAAAGUGUGGGGAGCGAACAGG